rnacentral:rRNA from 1 species
CCUACGGGCUGCAGUGGGGGAUAUUACACAAUAGGGGAAACCCUGAUGCAGCGACGCCGCGUGAGUGAAGAAGUAUUUCGGCAUGUAAAGCUCUAUCAGCAGGGAAGAAAAAAGACGGUACCUGACUAAGAUGCCCCGGCUAAGUACGCGCCAGCAGACGCGGCAAUACGCAGGGGGCAAGCGUUAUCCGGAAUUACUGGGUGUAAAGGGAGCGUAGGCGGCAAUACAAGUCGGAAGUGAAAUACCCGGGCUCAACCUGGGAACUGCAUUUGAUACUGUAUGGCUGGAGUGCUGGAGAGGUAAGCGGAAUUCCUAGUGUAGCGGUGAAAUGCGUAGAUAUUAGGAGGAACACCAGUGGCGAAGGCGGCUUACUGGACAGUAACUGACGUUGAGGCUCGAAAGCGUGGGGAGCAAACAGGAUUAGAUACCCUAGUAGUC